GAUCAUGGCUCAGGACGAACGCUGGCGGCGUGCCUAACACAUGCAAGUCGAACGGAACUUCUUUAAAGGAUUUCUUCGGAAUGAAUUUGAUUAAGUUUAGUGGCGGACGGGUGAGUAACGCGUGAGUAACCUGCCUCUAAGAGGGGAAUAACAUUCUGAAAAGAAUGCUAAUACCGCAUAAUAUAUAUUUAUCGCAUGGUAGAUAUAUCAAAGAUUUAUCGCUUAGAGAUGGACUCGCGUCCGAUUAGUUAGUUGGUGAGGUAACGGCUCACCAAGACCGCGAUCGGUAGCCGGACUGAGAGGUUGAACGGCCACAUUGGGACUGAGACACGGCCCAGACUCCUACGGGAGGCAGCAGUGGGGGAUAUUGCGCAAUGGGGGAAACCCUGACGCAGCAACGCCGCGUGAAGGAUGAAGGUCUUCGGAUUGUAAACUUCUUUUAUUAAGGACGAAGAAAGUGACGGUACUUAAUGAAUAAGCUCCGGCUAACUACGUG
rnacentral:rRNA from 1 species